GGGAUAAUAGUUAAAUAUAACAUUUAAUUUGCAAUUAAAAAUUACUAUAAAUAGUUUAUCUUA
rnacentral:tRNA from 1 species